UCACCUUAUUGUGGUGGAGAGGUUUGUUUUGAACAUAGACCACUCUGGUUCAAUGUCCCCUACCUCCACAGGAAUGUGAGAGAAGCUCCGCCGGAGGUGUGAGUUGAAAAUCUUUUGGACCGGGGCCUCCUCCAGACGUUCCCAGUUCACCCUCACUACACGCUUGGGUUUACCGGGUCUGUCCCGAGUCUUCCCCCAUCCUCUGACCCAGCUCACAACCAGAUGGUGAUCAGUUGACAGCUCUGCCCCUCUCUUUACCCGAGUGUCCAGAACAUGCGGCCUCAGAUCAGACGAUACGAUUACAAAAUCGAUCAUUGAUCUUUGGCCUAGGGUGCUCUGGUACCACGUACACUUAUGAACAUCCUUAUGUUCGAACAUGGUGUUUGUUAUGGACAAUCCGUGACUAGCACAGAAGUCCAGUAACAAACACCCGCUCGGGUUCAGAUCAGGGAGGCCAUUCCUCCCAAUCACGCCUCUCCAGUUAUCUCCAUCGUCGCCCACGUGCGCAUUGAAGUCUCCCAGUAGGACUAUGGAGUCCCCUACAGGAGCCCCAUGCAGGACUCCAUUCAGGGUCUCCAAAAAGGCCGAAUACUCUGAGCUGCUGUUUGGUGCAUAUGCACAGACAACAGUCAGUUUUCCCCCCCACCACCCGAAGGCGUAGGGAGGCGACCCUUUUGUCCACUGGGGUAAACUCCAAUGUAGCAGCACUCAGCCGGGGACUUAUGAGUAUCCCCACACCCGCCUGGCGCCUCACACCAUGGGCCACUCCGGAGUAGAAUAGAGUCCACCCCCUAUCCAGGAGUUUGGUUCCAGAGCCGAGGCUGUGCGUAGAGGUAAGCCCCACCAGAUCCAACUGAUAACGCUCCACCUCCCGCACAAGCUCCGGCUCCUUCCCCCCCAGAGAGGUUACGUUCCACGUCCCCAGAGCCAGCAUCUGCCGCCCAGGUCUGUUCCGUCUAGACCCCCCACUGUCACUGCCACCCUUGUAGCAGCGCACCCGACCCCAUCGGUUUCCCCCACCGGUGGUGAGCCCAUGGGGAGUAGAGUGUUGGGCUGCCGCGUCACUCCUUCGGGCUGUGCCCGGCCGGGCUCCGCGGUAAACCCGGCCACCAGACGCUCGCUGUCGGGCCCUCCAUCUGGGCCUGGCUCCAAAUGGGGGCCCCGGGCUUCCUCCGGGCCGGGUAACUCCUUCCCUCUUCCGUUUUUUCAUGGGGAUCUUGAACCAUUCUUAGUCUGGCCCCUCGCCUGAGACCACUUUGCCAAGG
ensembl:lncRNA